rnacentral:tRNA from 11 species
GGCCCGGUAGUUCAGUUGGUUAGAAUGCCAGCCUGUCACGCUGGAGGUCGACGGUUCAAGUCCGUUCCGGGUCGCCA